rnacentral:lncRNA from 1 species
CGCGCCGGAGCGGGAGCGCGGGGCGCGCUCGGACGCCGCCACACGGGGCCCCUCAGCGGCCGCCAGCGCCCCGGCAGACCCAGGUUUGAAUAUCCUCUGCAAUCAACACCAGAAAAGGGGCAUUCCAGGUCUUCAAAAGAUGAAACUCUGCAGGUUCUUCAUGUUCAGCAGGUGGCAGAAGUGGAAUUAUCGCACAAACAAACUCCAGGAGCUAAAAGUGUUGAUGCUUCAGAUAAUGCUGAGUGUGAAGAAAAAAAUACCAAUGAAAAUAAACAAACUCCAGAGAAAAAUCUUCCCGAAGCUUUCCCUGUCAAACUCCAAACACCCAAAUCUUCACAGAGAAUUCAUCGUG